AGCCACAACCUUAUCACCCUGCAGCCAAAGACCAGUUAUACUCACUGAAGCUAAGCAGGGCUGAAUCUGAUCAGUACCUGGAUGGGAGACCACAUAAACUAGGUUGCUGUUGGAA
rnacentral:rRNA from 1 species